rnacentral:lncRNA from 1 species
GAUUUUUUUGUGAUCGGAAAAAACGGAAAUCAGGUACCCGAAAAACGUGUUGAAUAUUCAUAUGUGUACAAAUUUAUUGAUUAGGUAAGAAAACAUAUUCAAAUACAUUACUAAACAAAAAUCUAACCAAACAGUUUGGGCUGCGAGAGUAUCGAUCAACCUAUCGAACCGGUUCUUAUUACAGAUUCAAAAAGUUUUUGUCUUUGUGUUGACUUUUUGGAUUCCAGGUGUUCGAAGUAUAUUUCGCCGUUUAUCUGUUACAAGCUUGAUAUAACAUUUUAAAAAAAGAAUCACACAAACAUAUUCUGACUUCUACUUAUAAUAUUUAUGCAACAAAACAUUCUGAGAAGUCCAAAAAUAAAUAUGCAACUUUGUUUACAAAUUUUCACCUGAAGCCGCCAUGUUUGAUUUCGAACUUACAGGUUGAGUAACUAAUUACUAAGCACAUCAGCUAAUGACAUAAGCACUAGUCAUUUGCUGUGCAGGUAUACACAAGACUAUCUUUAAUCUACCACAAACUGUAUGUAUUUUUUGUUCCAGCAUUAUAAUUUUAAGUUAAAGACGAUGUAUUUUAUAGGGGAGAAGUAAAUAGUGAAAUUAUCUCCCUUACUUACUCAGAAUAUUUUUUUCAUAAUGAAUACAGAUCUUCAUUUUUCAAUAGUUAGACCACACAAAAUUAAUACAGCAAAAGCACAGGCACUUGUCUCUGAGAAAGAAAUCCAUCAACUUUAUUAUAUUACAUGUACAAUGCACUUGGCUUACAUUUUUGGAAAUGACAAAUGGUUUUCAGUUUUCCUUCAUAUUUUGAUUUUGGUAAACGGACAGAAAGUCACAGGACAUAAAGUCACAAAUUUGAUAGGACAAAAAGUCAUAAAUAUUUUUUUGACAAUUGUUUGGAUAUAUAUAAGAGAAAUAUCUUGAAAUAUUUACUUUUUAAUACAUAUAUUCAUAUUAAGUUAAUGAAAUUUAUCAUUUUACUUGAAAAAGGAAGAUUUAUUUAGUUUUAAUCAUGCAAAGGACAUAUUUCUUGGCACCAUGAAGCCAUUUAAGUGCCAAUAUAUUUUGACAUUUUACAUUCUUUGACAUUUUUUGAUACAUUUUGCUUACAAAGUUGGUUAAUAUACCAUACUUCAAGAAAAAUACAAAAAUGUUUUUGUAAGAAUAAGCAUUUUUUAUUCAAAGAAAAUAAUCAGAAAAAAUGAAUUGUGACUUUUUGUCCGUGACUUUUUGUCCUGUGACUUUCUGUCCUACAUUCUUUGAUUAUACAGUUCAAGCAAUUGUCUAUACCACUUGAACUUAUUAUCCCAUAAAUCUACAUUGAAUUAUCUACAAAAGGGUGUAUAACAUACUUAUUCUAUGAUAGGAAUCAUUCUUGAUAGGUCAUCCAAGUACAUGUAUGUCAACCUUAAUUAUUUUGUUGAAAUCACAGUCCUAAUUUUGGAGGCCUUCUACAAGUGAUUCAGACCUCAAAAGAAGACGUUAAUGUUUCAUUCACGAUUUUGUAGCUAAAUCGAUGUACAGUUUAGUGGGGUAAUUAAGUGAGGAAUCACAAUAUACUGAAAGCUCACUUCAAAAUACUAAUUGUAUUUUUUUUUUAAAUGCAUGUUUAUAAGUAUUUUGAGUGGAACAGUACAUGUAUAUAGAAAAUAAGAAAUUCUGAGAUAAGUGCCUUUGAGAAUAAGGUGCCAUGUCCCUCUCAAUCAAUUCGUCCCGAAUGAACAUUAAAUAAUUUGCCACUGCAAGGAAGUUGAGCAAAGUUUGAUACCAAUUUUUUAGUGUAACAAAAAAACUAACAUGAUUCAUUGUGAUUGGUCAUCCUAUAUGUUAGUUCCGGUAAAUUAAGUAUCAUUUGUCCAAGUAUCAUUAAUAUUAAAUAUUUUAUUAAAAUCUAGAAUAGAAUACAAUCUCUUUAUAAGCUAUAGUCUUGUGAUUUAUUUGAACUAUUUAAAUAGGUGAUCAUUAAAGAAAGUCUUAAGUACUCUUUCUCAAGUUACUUGCAAAUUUUCUAUAAAAAAUAUUGCUUGAAUAAGUGAAUAAAGAAAUUACUCAUUUAAGUAUUCCCCCUGACUGUAUUAGUGGCAAAAUGAAGUUUUGAUUGGUGUUAUUUGAGUAUUAAAAAGUUCUUGUCUUCAAAAUUCCAAUAGGGAACAUACCUUUUAUAAUUGUAUAAAUAAACCAAUUGUUCAGACGUUUCGGCCAUUGGCCUUCUUCAGUUAUUUAUUAUUCCUCUAAACUACAUGGCUGACAUUUCUUUUUUCAGACAUUGAAAAGAUGUUAUAGAUAAAAAGUUAUUAUUUCUCUUUGCCACCAUGUUGAGGGUCAAUUUUCUCAAAUUCUUUCUUAAAUAAACCAAGUUCAACAUGUUAUGCUGGUCAUUUGAAUUGACUAGAAAAAAAGUUUGUUUUUUUACAAAUUUUCAUUUGUCUUUAAGUGUUGAAUUGUAUCAAAGUAUAACAAGAUCUAAUAUUUAUAGGAUCUCCUAUCAGAUUUGCUUGAAACAAGUUUGGUUAGUUCAUGUACAUGUACAUGAAGUCAUUUAGGAAAAUACCCAAGUUAUUGAAGUUAAUUAUAAUGGGGCAGAGGUAUAAUAAUAUAUCAAACUCAACUUAAAUAUUCAAAAUUGUGACAAAUUUUUUGUUGUUGUAGAUAAACUAUUGCUUCACCAGAUGAAGAUGUAAACAAUGCCUGCAGGUCAUUAUGACCCUCAGACUUCUUACAAUGGUGAUGAUUCUGCAGCUAGCAUUCUAAAAACAGUACAAGCACAGGUAAGUACUAUUAUUAUACCUUACAUAUAUUACAAACAAUUCUAUUGGAUAACAACUUAUCACGUGACAUGGAAUAAUUCGGUUAAUUUUCAUGUAAUUGCAUGGGAGGACGAAUAACCCUUAAAAUUUACACCAACGGUGAAUAACCCUAUUAUUCACCGGCGAAUAACCUUUUUAGUGUCUAGAUUUGCACUCGAGUUACCUCCCAUGCAAAUGACGUCACAGACGUAAAUAAACAAGAUGGCAGCGUUCACGUUACACUGACAGCCCAUCGAGAGACGAGGAAAUAAGGCUUUGGAAAUGAAUAGAGUGCCAGCAGCCGAUGUUAUCUCCUCUAAAUGGUCCUUUUCAGGGCCAUUAAUAUUUUACGAAAAGAUUCUACCUUUGUUGUACAUCCGAGAAAUUCUAGAACACAAACAUGACAAAUAUAUUUUCCUGAGCUAUUUUCAAACGUCAGCUUGUGUUUGUUAUGUAAAAAAUAUAGUGUUCAAAAUGCCCUUCCACUGUUUAUUCGGUAUAAUAAAACAAUUGUGGCCCCAUAGAAUCGAUGAAUAUCCAAAAUUGUCAACCCUUAAAAGUUAUUUCACUUCGGGCUGCGCCCUCAUUGAAAUAACCUUCUCGUGUUGACAAUUUUGGAUAUUCACCUUUUCAACGGGCCAUAAUUGUAUAAUCUACACAUAUAUUGACCUAUGAUGGAUAUUGGAAGAUGUGGUAUGAAUGCCAAUGAGACAGCUCUGAUGGUUUACUUUUACAAUUUGUGACUUGGACAAAAUGGUGGAUGGACAGUUGUCUCAUUGGCACUCAUACAACAUUUUAUAUCUGUAUACAUGAUAGAACAGAUGAAAUAAUUGAAAAAGGAUAAUAAAUGUUAGGAUUACCCAUGCAUUAACCUUUGUACAAAUGUGUAACAUAACUGAAGAACAUUGGACAGUUUUGUUACAACGUUAACACUAUAAGCACCAACUGUAAUAUUAGUUGGUAAGGGCUUUAAAAAAUCAUCUGCAAGAAUAUACAUUGAUGAAAAUUUAGAAAUGGAGGAACUUUGACCAGGACAUGUACAAAACACUGCAUUUAUGACUAAAAUAAUUGUUUCCUCCAUUUUUUUGUAAGGCCAAAUAAAGAUGUGGGUCGGUAAGUAGACAUUUUUUUUUGUGACCCCUCCAUAGCAGUGGGGGCAUUAAGUUUUAUCCAUGUCCAACUGUACGUGUCGACAUCCCAACUAUUUUGUUUGUUCUUUAACUUGGAUCAAAACACAGUUAAAGUCUGAAUUUGGGUGGUGUCACUUACCAUUCUAGAAUAAUUCACCUUUACAUUCUCUGACUUGUUUGACUGGAUUGCCUCAACUAAAUGUGUGAAUCUUAAACAGUGCUUAUAUGUUUACAACAAUACAAAGAUCAAGUUUGAAUCUGCUGGGGUCAUUUUUAACAUUCUAGAGUUAUGCCCCUUUACAAAUGGAAAACUUUCUUAUUUUGUUUCCAUUCUCUGUGAGUUUCCACUGGUAAUGAUCAUGAAGAUUCCAUUUUGGCAGUCAAGAUCAUUGCAUUUAAGUUACAUAUUUCAAAGUCUGACUUAUGGCCAAGUUAUGGGACACAGAUGAUGCCCACCCUGGGAUACAACCCUAUACAGAACUUGAACCUACGAUAGUGAGGGGCAUUAUGUUUUCUAGUCUGUCCGUCUAUUCGUCUAUGUUCGUCCAACUUCAGGUUAAAGUUUUUGGUCAAGGUAGUUUUUGAUGAAGUUGAAGUCCAAUCAACUUGAAACUUAGUACACAUGUACCCUAUGAUAUGAUCUUUCUAAUUUGGAUGCCAAAUAACAGUUUUGACACCAAUUUCAUGGUCCACUGAACAUAGAAAAUGAUAGUGCAAGUUUCAGGUUAAAGUUUUUGGUCAAGGUAGUUUUGGAUGAAGUUGAAGUCCAAUCAAAUUGAAACUUAGUAUACAUGUUCCCUAUAAUAUGAACUUUCUAAUUUUAAUGCCAAAUAACAGUUUUCACCCCAAUUUCAUGGUCCACUAAACAUAGAAAAUGAUAGUGUGAGUGGGGCAUCCGUGUACUAUGGACACGUUCUUGUUUUUACAUAUCUCAGUAUACAUAGUUUUAGCCUGAUAACAUUUGGUUUACAUCACUUUAGGGUACACAUGUAUGUUACAAUAUAUAUCAUGCAUAUUUUAACCUUAAAAGUGAAGUAUUGAAUUUGCAGUAAAUUAAUAUUCAUGUUUAAAGUAUGUAUUAAUAAUUGCAUUUUAUUAUGCCCCAUAUACAUGUAUGUGCAUUAUGUUUUCUGGUCGAGGUAGUUUUUGAUGAAGUUGAAGUCCAAUCAACUAGAAACUUAGUAAUCAUAUUCCCUGAUAUGAUCUUUCUAAUUUUCAGGCCAUAUUAGAGAUUUUCCCCUUUUUUCUCGGUCCACUGAUGAACAUUGAAAAUGAUAGUGCGGUUGGGGGCAUCCAUGUACUUUGAACACAUUCUUGUUUAUUUUAUAAUAUUUCAUGAUUUGACAACAUGAAAUAAUUAUAAAUAAUUGCCAAAUAAAAGUAAAAGUAUAUACAUGUUUCCUACUUUUAUAUGUCACACUUGUGAAAAGCGUAUCUUCAAUUUUUUUAAAGGUUCAGUUGGUGGUACAAUGAUCUACAGUGUAUAUUGAGAAAACUGCAGGUUCCUCAUCAACAUGUUAUUGGGGUAAAAAAUGAUGUGUUAAAAAUCCUAAUUUCCUUGAUAAUUAGAAACUGUUACAAGUUUAUACAAUCAGUGGUUUUCCUAUUGUGUUGAGGAAGGGGCCCAGGUUCAUAUUCAUGUAGAUAUUAAGAAUCGUUUAAAAUGAUUUUCAAUGUGCAAUGGCACCGAUAAAUAGAAACAGCUUCUUGCUCUAUUAUUAACAUCAAUUUGUCAUAUGAAUGGUGACAUACAUGUAUAAGAAGACCAGAAUAAUAUUGGUUUCACAAAUAAAUCAAAAUUACUUUUUCAAAUGCAGUACAGACCUUUGACAGAUACAUGUUGUACCUCAUUCUAAAUUCAGUGUGUUUUUUCAAUUCAAUAUCAUGUGACUUCCUAAAGAAUUAACAUUAUGAAAAAAAAUCAUGACUAAUUUAUGACACUGUCAGUGUCACCUAAAUUGUUUGGUUGACUGAUUAAGAACAAAGGUUUAUAAUUUAUUACAAAAUUCAGCAUGUAAAUUUGAAAAUGUAAGCAUGGAAUAUGUACAUGAUUUUACAAAAAAAAAAAAAAAAAAAUAUCUUAGUAUUUGAGAAAUGUAAAAAUAUUGUAUAUAUUAUAUACAUAUAUGCAUCAUUUAUCUGUCAUAUCAGUAAUUAAAUCUACAGAUACAUGUAUAACAUGUACAAUGUAUUUCUAAAGAAAAUAUGCUUUUAAGUGACAAAUACAGUUCACUCAUGUUCACAUGUUAGCCUCUGGUUGAAAACUUUAUUUGUGAAAUGUAAAAACUAUAUCAGUAUACAUAUACAUUUAACAAUUAAAAUGUGUUUUCUUAAGCAGAUACUGUAAUUGAACUUAUUUUCGCGGUGUAUUUAUUUUCACGAAUUUCGCGCUUGGUUUAUUAUCGCGAAAAUAAAUACACACGAAUCUAAAUCAAACCUUUCAACUGAAAGGCAAUAAUUAUAAAAUUGCGAAAAAUAAAUAGCCGCGAACGUUUUUGAAAUACACAAUUUGCGAAAAGAAGUACCCGCGAAAAAAAGUACAAGUACAGUACAUUGUAUGCCUUAAAGUGUCAACUUCUGGUUUAAAUUUUCAUUAAUAGGUGCAGUUGUAUAAACUACAUACAUAUAAUUUAUAAAAUGUAAUUCUAAAUUAGAUCUGCUUUUAAAAACUUAAAAGUGUCAGAUACAAUGUACUAAGUGUGCAUGUCAGCCUCUUGUUUAAAUUUCAAUUAAUUGGUGCAGUUGUACAUAUACAACCCAUAAAUAACAUAUAUUUUUAAAUUCCAUUUUCUUUUUAGUGCCAGUCACUAGAUUCCCAUGUUAGUGUCUUUUUUAAUCUCCAUUAAUUGAUGCAGUUGUAUAAACUAUUAAAUUUCAUUCCAGUUGCUUUGUGGGUACAUGUAUUUUCUCACGCUGUAAUAUGAUUUCAAUAAUUUAUUAUUAAAACGAACACAAACAAAGUGUAGGAAAUGAUGUAAGCUAAUAAAUAGUGGAAUAGUCACUGACAUUCCAAUCAUUAUGUAUUUAUAACACCUGAAUGAGCACGCUCAGUGAGUCAGUUAGGAAAAGGGUUUUACCUGUAAACAUUGCUUUUACCUGUCAGGUGUAAAUUAAAAAAUCAAAUAAAUUUGAUAUAAAUUCAGUAAUAUUUAAAUCAAAUUAAACUUGUAUCGGAACAUUAAAAUUUUAUAGGUGUAAAAACAUUUAUAUAUGUUUAUCUUGACAAACAAAUAUAACAUCCUGAUAAAAAUUUUCCUUUUUUGAACCCUUAUCAAAGGAUUGAAAAAAUGACAACACACAUUUGAAUACACAAUACCUUGAACUCCCACAAAUAUUUGUGAACUCAAACACCCAGACACAUUCUCAUCAUUGUCCUUUUGUCUAGGUCGUUGUAACAUGUAAAAAAUGUAAAUGUACAAAAUGUACCUGUAAAUAAAUCAGUGCAUAUAUUGGGGCAUUAUUGGAACGUAAUUAAACCAUUUUAUUGAUGUACAAUAAUAUAUACAUUGAUUCAUUGUUGUAUGACAGUGCAUGUAUAAUGUGAAUUAGGGAGUUAUUAUUCAUGUAAUCUUUUGUGGAAAAAAUAUAUCUAAAGAUAUUCAGAGACAGUUACAUGUAGUAAGAAAACAGGAUUUAUCGGAUAGUAUGAUAUUUGUGUAAACAAGUUUGAUCUAUAUAUAAUAUAUAUAUGAUAUGAAUUGAAAUAUUUGGAUAUGCAUAUAUUCUACAAAUUGUGACUUGGAUGAUUUGUCUCAUAGGCACUCAUACCCCAUCUUCUUAUAUCUAUUUAUUUCAUUUGUGGAUUUAAAGUAAUUAACCAGUGUUUGUGCUAUAGUAUAGAUGCCAGUGGAUUAACAUUCAAGUUAAGGAUUAUCAUUUUUUUUAGGAAGCAGAAUUUGAAAGAUUAACCAGAAAAUUAGAAGCCGAAAGAGAAACUGUAGGACAUAAGUUUAGGGAGGUGAGUGAAGGAAAGAUCACAAGAAUAGUGCUUGUUUUUUGCUGUUUAUUAGACCCUUCUACAACAAAUUUUGUUUUACAUGCACACGUAUAAAAAUUGCGAUAUUUAUCCAACACAAUCAUAGGUUUGAACGCAGUUUUCAAUUUAGACUUGUUUAUAUAUACUGUAUAUCAUAUUUUUUUCAUUCAUUAUUUUGCACUUAAAUCAAGCUGUUAGUUUUCGCAAUUGAAUUGUUUUGAAAUCUUUAUUGGGGGCCUUAGGUAGCCAACUAUGUGGUAUGGCUUUUACCUAUUGUUGAAGGCCGUACGGUGACCUAUAGUUGUUGAUUUUUGUGUCACUUUUGUCUCUUGUGGUGAGUUGUCUCAUUUGCAAUCGUACCACAUCUUCGUAUUUUGAUACAUAUUUAUAGAGAUAGACUAGUAUGGAACACUUCGCUUUAUUAUAUUUUCAACUCCUUUCGGAUUGUCUUCUCUUGUUGUCUGAUGAUUUCCAUCAAUUACAAUUCACUGUUCUCCCAAGGGGCUUUUAACAUUAUUGUAAGGUGAUGUAAUCUAAAACUAUUUCUUUAUCAUGUUUAUAGAUUGUGUUUAAGAUUUGAUACGACAAUUUUCAAAAUGUUAUUUCAAAAUACGCUGUAAAGCCAAUGAAAGCAGAAUACAGUCACUGGAAGGAUUUCAUCAUGUUCAUAUAGAAAUGGAAUGAAUGGCACAAGAAAUGGAAGAUGAUCUAUAAAAAGGAGUUUUAAAAGGGUUCUUUUUAAGUACACAUAAAUACCAGGGGUUACAGACUGCUUGUUUAGCCUUAAGAAUUUUAUCUGUAUUUACAAAAAAAUGUAUGUCGGUCAUAUCAAUACCUCAUUGAGUCUAUUUUCCUCCAAAAUAAUAUUCUUAUUGAAAGCUAAGAUUUUGGUGAACAUGAUAAGGUUCGAACUUCUCCUGAAAAAUAGAAGUUGAUAUCAAGCAUAUUAGCAUAUUCUUUCAGUAUACAGUAUACAUGAUGUACAUGGUUAAAAUAAAUGAUAAAUAUGAUUUAAUAAUCAUCAAACAUUUUCGUCAAAUGAAAACUUCCAGAUGACCAAACUUUUAAUUGAACUUUUUAUUUCUAAAAUGCCUUUGUUUACACAAUGAACAGAAGAAAUGUGGAAUAUGAGGAUAAAGUAUACUUAUUAACACGACCCAAUUACUAAGAGGUACAUACAUGUACCAGGAAAUAACAUACCAUAUGUUUUAUCUGACAGUGCAGUAUUUGGCAUAUCUAUAAAUAAAGAAUACAAACAAUCUCUGAUUUGAAGUAAUUAUGCUUUUUACUUCAUGUACUUUGAACUCCUUGUCCUAAUUGUAAUUUGUACAUUUCUUUCAUUUAAAGAAAUAGGUAAUUCUAAUGGAAACCUCUAAAAAGAGUGCUCUUUGUGAGACAGACAACUUUCUACUUUUCUUGUCUUUUUAUUUUGUUGUUGUAAAUAUGCACUCUUAGAAAAAAAACGACACUCCAUUAUAAAACAAUCAUUGAAGUAAGACAACAUUAUAGCACCAUGACGGAUCAUACAGCAUUAAUUUAACUUAAUAAAUAACAUUUUCAUGAAGCCAUUUUUUAUGAAGUUUCAUAAGAAUUUAUGAUUAAAAGCAGGAUAUAAUAAAUUGAACGAGAAACUUAUUAUUUUCUAAAACUAAAAUGAAUUUUCUGAUAUCAAAGAUUGCAUUGCAGUAUUUAUUUAUGACUUUUAAAGUAUUACACUGUAUAAGUUGAAAAGCAAGCAUGAUAAGUUUAUGUUAAGAUUGUUAUGUAUAAAUACAAUUACUAAGUAAAAAGAAUAACUUGACGUAUAUCAUGUAUAUUUUUAUACAUUAGCCUAAAAAAUGUAUCAAUUGAAUUACUUGGUAUACCAGAUAUUCACUGGCUUGUAGACCACUUUCAAAAUGAAGACUUAUAUUGACUCCACACAGGAUGUUUUGUAUGGCUUGAUUUAUAUGGGUAUCUAUCAGGUAUUUUAAAGGUGGACCUAAAAAUGUUGUAUAAUCGGUUUUAGGAAUGCAUUUGAUUAUUUUUUUGGGCAUAUACAUGUAGUUAUUUUCACCUAUCACUGAUAUUAGUCCUAAACAAAAUUUAAAUACACACUCAACAGCCAAAAAUUUCAAUUCUGUGUCCACAAGUUGUAAUUUAUCAAUGUUUCUGGUUAUAAAACAAUGUGUUUUUCCUACCUGAAUACUUUUGCAAUGUGUAAGCACUUUAAAGAUUAAUCUUGACUUUAUAUUAAAACAUGAUUUAUUCACUUUCAUCAAAUUAUAAAGACACAAAGGUUUCAAAAAUAAACUUGGUUUUAGUUACCAAGAUAUUUGAGUAAUUUAAAUUUUUCCUUUAUAUUCAUUUCCCUGUUUAGAUAAUUACUCGUCUGAAAAUAGCCAAAGUUUUCUUUUUGUUAAAAACAUGCAUUUCAUGUUCUCUGUUUACAGUUGAAUGAUAUCAACUCUCAAAAGACAUUUGAUAAAUUAAAUCGCUACUGUCUGGGUCAGCUAGAGGUAAAAUUUAUUACAUGUAUAAAUUACAAUUGUACCGAAAAUGAUUUCAUGUCAUUAAUUGAUAGCUAAGUAGAUGAAAGUAAAACUAAUAAACAGGUGUUAAAUGGCUAACAAUACCUGAUUGUACUUGGCUUUAAUAUGCUGAGGUUCAUAUAUUUAGCAAGCUAAUUAGCAAGUUACUUGUGUGGUCAUAUAGGUUUGUACUAAGACCUAUGAUUGAAUUUGGGCAAAUAUUUAUGUUUUGAAAUUGACAUUUCCUAUUAAAUCUGAAAGUAUAAGGUCUUUGUGAUAUCACAUUUUCUCCUAUAUGUAUACAAACUGAAACAUUAGAUUGCUUUCAUUAGAUGAAUAUGAUAUUAGAUUUCCGAGAACUUAUCACGUUAGCCAAUGAUUAAUUAAGGUUUUGGACCUGAUUGGGUUUUAAUCUAUCUUCAUUGUUUAAUGGGUACACAAACAGUAUAAAUGAAUUCUAAUAUUUUAAAAAUUAAUAAAAUGAGAGAAAAGGAAGAUCUUUGUUACUUAAAAACGUAGCCUGUUGUUAACUUCUAGGUCAUUCAUGUCUUCUGGUCUCUUGUGGAGAGUUGUUUCUCCAGCAAUCAUACCACAUAUCCUAAUUUAUAUGCUGUGACAUUUUCAGGAAAAACUAAAUCAAAACAUAAUUUUGCUGGGGUAUACAUUGUAAGGUACUUGCAUUACAUAGUUAAAAUAGAAUUUUGGAUUGCAUUGAGGACAUGAUCUGAAUAUCAAUGUCUGUACAUAUUAUAUGUGUACAUUUGAUGCCUGACAAUAUAAGUACAUAUGAAUUUCAAAAAGCUUGUACAUUUAUUUGUACUCUGCAUGUUGUAUAUGUACAAUAUUAGAAUUGGGUUAAGCUUGUUAUGGAUAGUUUAUAACUUGUUUGCUUCUCCCAGAAUUCCAUUUAUUUGUUUUGGUGUUUGAACUAGUUUUUACCUGUAUAAGCAUCCGAUUUUACAAUAGAACCUUUAUAGUCAAACCUGCUAUAUAUAAAGGUCUUGUGUAUUUACUGAAAAUGUCAGGUCAUCCUCAUUUGGAAUUGUCCCACUGUAUUGAUACCAAUUCAUAUUGAACUACCUUUCAAAAGAUCCCAUCUCAUAUGAUGGGUGACCUUUAUACCAGGUUUGACUGUAGUUCACACAUAGCCAAAUUUCUGUUAGGUAUUUAGUUACCCUUUUUAGUUUUGCAUGGAUCUCUAGCAGUCUUUGGUUUUAUAUCAUUGCAGUACAGGGUGGGAAGUCAGGCCGAUAGUAUGAAUAGCAUCAAUAGCGCAGAUGAUUCUUAUUGGCGUAGUCCUCAUUCUGACUCACGACUCCAUGAUGAUACUGUGGGGGACUCUAAAAUGAGCUCACACCUCCUUGACUCCUGCCUGUAAGUAUUUUUGGUAACGGGUAGGUUUUAAUGUUAGGAUGGUGAGGUAUCUGUAUUUGAAUUUCAUCAGGCAAUGAAUAUAUCUAACCAAACUGGUCUCUAAGAUUCUGAUCUCACUGAUUUCUAAAAGCAAAUUGUUUUUUUUUUUUCAUUCAAUCAACAUUUGCCAAUACAUUUAGAAAGAUUGUUGACAAAUGAUUAAAAGAUAUAAAUAAACAUGAUAAACAUGACCUUCUGAUGUUGUUUUUUCUAUGGUCGGGUUGUUGUCUCUUUGACACAUUCCCCAUUUCCAUUCUCAAUUUUAUGAUUUUUUUUUUGGGGGGGGGGGGGGGGUUAUUUUAGGAUGUAGAAUAAAUCCCAUUGCUUUACUUUGCCACAAUUUAAUGGUAGUGCCUGAAAUUUAAACAGGGGUUUGCAUAAGUACUGCUCAUUCCUAACCUUUGUUUAGUUGCAUUAAUUGUUGUAGAGCUUCAAUUUUAUAGGACAUCUUUCUGACAUAUAUGUUUUUGCAUGAUUAGUCAUUUAUGCAUUUAAGUCUGAAUCUUGAACAUGAUAAUGUACAUGUAUCAAUAACCAUAAACAUUAUCCUUGUACAUAUACAUGUAGGCCUGAAAUAAUAUGUAUAUAUACUAAGUACUCAUUCUUAUUCCUGAGGUUUGGCUAUUGUGGAUUUCAUGGUAAAAUGUGAAUUCAGGAAUAACAUAAAAAUAUUCUUAUAGGCUUUCAUAUCAUUGAAAUCAUGAUCAUGAAGUUGAAGGGCAUUCACAUGUACAAUUUUUUCUCCUUUUAUAAAAUUGUUACCCAGAAAAAUUAUAAAAUAUUUUUGUUUGGAUACAAUUGUUUAUCAUAUCCCUUUGUAUCUUGUUUGGGGCCUCUGUGGUCGAUGUGUCUAAGUAGUUACUACUGUAAUCAAUAGCCAGUCAUCAUUGAGGUUGUGAGGUCAAACCCCUGCUUGUGCCGGUGCACUCAACCCAAAUCUCAAUAGACUAGGAAUGCCAGUUUUCCUUUUGAAGGUCAUGGUUUUCUACGAGCACUCUGGCUUCCUCCACCAAUAAAAACAAACUGGCCGCUAAGAAAUUGCCGAAAAGCAGUGCUUAAAAGAUGUGUUAAAACACAAAAAAUCAAAUCAUCAACAUCAGUCAGGAAGGGUUAUUUUCAUCAAAUUCAUGUAUUUCUUCUGUUUCCAUUACAUUCCAAAUAUGUGUUUUAAAAACUUACUGUUAACAAGCCCUAGGGACAAAAGGAAGACAGCUUUGAAAGUAUCAGUGCUAAAUACAUUAGGGUAACAUUUUUAUUUGCCCAUGUCUCCCUUUAUUAGUUUAUUUUAUUCUGUGCCAUGAAUUUUCGAAAGAUUGGGAAGGCUGCCAAAUGGCUAUUUUGUUUUUUUGUCUUAUCAGUUGAAUUAUUUUAAAAAAGCACUGAUAGUGCCCACUAUAUCAAACAUCUAUACUUUGUAUGCAUAUGUAAGUCAUUGUGGUUUGGCAUUCCAUUUAUAUUCAGAGUCUUAAAGUAUUCAAACAUUUCAUUUUCGAAAAAUAGAUACCUUACAAGGGGAUUUACCGGUAGGUCAAACUGUUGUGAUUAAAUUUAGUCACUGUUCAAGUGUCCACCAGAGUUAAUUGAUCUCUAGCUCAUUGAUCAAAGAUCUUUUAAACUUUGCUACUUUUAAAAUGUUCAGGACAUUCCAAUACAGCUGUGUAUACAAUGAAGAUAAAAAUACCGUGGCCAUCAGAGCAUAUCCUUCACUGUUCUGAAGUUGUUUAAAUUUCAAUUAUGUGACACAUGUAAAUAAAGAUAAAAGAUUGGUUACGCAAAAAUUAAAUAUUUUCAGACUAAAAUAAGCUUUGGCAUAAUAUGUGGUAUUAUGUGGUUAAAAAAUUAAUUACUUUAUGUGAUAUUUUAUUAGAUUAAAAUAUUGGAAUUUGUUGGGCUUGGGUUUAUUUUAUAUACAUGUAGUACUUGUAGUCUUUAUUUACAUUAAAUAAGUGGAUUGGUUUUAAAAUAAUAAGCAUAACUUAGUCAAUAUUUUUCGUGUAUCCUUUAUCGUAUAAUUAGCAUGUCAUUCUGCAAGGUACCUGUAUAUGUAAAUAUUUCAUCUUGUACAUUGAUAGUUCAAUGUUAUGACCAAGGAAGUAAUAAAACAAAUAAACAGAAAUUAAAGGACACUUUAGACCCGAGUAGUAGAAAACGCAACAAUUGUUGUACAAAUGCAGAGUUCUACAAAAAUGAUGGUCCGAAGUUUUUGACCACCAAAUUUUGCAAAGGACUGACACGAUUUAUUGUGUUUUGCAAUAAAAACAAUGGUUAAAGGACUAGCAGAUUUUUGUAAAGAACUACCAAUGAAAAGAUUUUGAGAAUUCUGCUGAUGCAUUUGCAAUAUCCAUCGCCAUCAAAAUAUAUUUACCGAAAUAUAAAAAAGAAUUUACAAUUGAAAUCCAAUCAAAGAAGUUGUUUUUCUGUGUUAUGUAUUAGUAAGAAUUUGAGUUUGUUAUUGGCACCAACUUGGAAAAAUAUUUAAGUUUUAAAGUAUUCCUUCCAGCUAUCUGAUGACAUCCAACAAUAAUAUUUAUAUAUGGUUAUAAAAUCAUUAGAAUGUACAUGUAUCUUGUGGAAGUUGUGUAUAUAAAUGAUCUCCCAAAAUAUCUAAUACCUGUAGCACUGUUUCCCUUAUAUAUAGCACAGCAUUUAUAUAUGUUUUGAUUUAAAAUCUAUUCCAAAAGCAGCUUGAGAAAACUGAAUAUCUGUGAUAUUGGAAGUUUUAGUUUAAUUGAUGGAUACAUUAAAAUUUUGAAGCUUUAAAAUAUAAAUUUUUAUUAAUAUUUCAAGAAAAUUUCAUUUAAACUGUCCAAUUUUAUGCCCCUACACAAGGCAAAAGGGACACUAACUAUUACCUUUUCCCAGUCAGUCUGUCAAAAAAGAAUUUCCCCAUAUUUUAGCAAGCUUUAGAAGGGUCAUUCAGUCCUCAGGCACCAUCUUCUUUGAUUUAUUGAAAUGUUUCAAAUCACAUAUAGCCAUUUCUUACCAUUGCUUGCAGUGCAAAUAUUUUUGUUUGAAAAAAUUGAAACUCUAGUGGAUAUAAGUUAAUUGAAGUAAACAUGGUAAAUAUGGUUCGUAGCUUUUGAUAUAAAUAUUGGGGACUUUAUAAAUUACAAACAUAAACUCAACCAAAAUGUAAAUUUUUUUGUAGAUAAUAUAAGAUGACUUAUACAAGUUUGAUCAAAAGUAUGAAAUUUGAUAACUCUAUAGACCCUGAGUAUUAUAUUGUGUGUUUGUUAUAAAAGUGGCAUUAACGCUUUAUGUUAUACUUAUUUUUUUGUUACUCAAAUAAAUGCCUAUUCAUGUUUAAAAAUUUUAGGAUUGAAAAUUGCAUUAAAAAUAUGUACUUCCCUUUGUUAAGAGAUAUAUAUGUCGAGGAGUCUGCACAAAAGAGAACACUAGGUAUACAUUUAGGGUAUAUUAUUGUUUACUGUUCUCGUGAGAAGAGCUUUAAACCUUUUAAAUUCAGGGAUAAUUAUGUUAUUGGCAAAGAAAGAAAACUUGAAUUUAAAACAGGAUUAAAUUACUAGGUCAUAGUAAAUAGUAAGUUGUCCAGGACAUUAAUGUCACAGUUGUAACACUCCUACGGGCAUGUAAGCUUCUUAUUGUCAGUGGUUUGUAGGCCUUUCAGUCUGCGGGUACACGUUCCCACUUCUUCCAUCACAUAUCAUGCAUAAUGCACUGUAUCAACUAUGUCAUGUUCGUGAUACAUACUUUGUAUUCUUUGUUCCUUUGAUUAAAAAGAGGAAAUAAAGUUUAUUAUUUUUUUGGAACUUCUAACUUGCAUGUCAAGUCACAUGGGUUCAUCAAAAGAUUCAGUUGUUUCCACCUGUGUAUUUGUCAAAGAAAAACAUCUAUGUAAUAAGGAUUCAUUACAUGAUUACCACCAAGUAUUUAAACUUGUAUACAACAUAGUUUUAGAUUCUUUUUUCUUUAUUUUUAGGAGAGAGCUUGAUAACAGGGGCACAUUUGGGUAUGUUUAUUAUAUAAAAUAAAGUAAUAUACUGCCAUGAAAGUAGUCUCAAGUUGAAUAAUAAUAAACUUUGAUCAGAGGUCAAAAGUGUUUUACCAAUAAAAAGUUCAGUUAUUUAGUUCUUAUAUAUCAUAUGCAUGUAUAUCAUUUAAAGAUAUAAAAAAUGUCAAAAACUUAAUUUAAGGACUGAAUUUGAUGAAACGUUUAUUACUUGACUCAUAAAGUAUACAUAUAUGAUUCAAGCCAACUUCAGUUGAUAAGAUAAUUUGUAAAUGAACAGGGAUGUUCAUUAUUAUAUCAUAAGACAAAGAAACAAAAUAUUCACAUACAAUUUUAUCAUUUAGAAAUACCACAUACGAUCGAAUAAUUGAAAAGACAACAUGCAAUUAGUAAUAUCUUUGCUUAAGUUAUACAUAUGGUCAAACCAAUUGUUUAAAACAAAAGUUUCUUGUCUCUUCUUUUAAUAUUUUUAUAGUCCUGCCACAUAAGAAUAAUUUUGUUGAUAUUUGCAGAGACAACAACAUGGAUUACGUGGAGGACCCCUACAGUGGUGGAGGGAGACAAUUGUACAAUGAUUCCUACAAUCAGGGUUACGACCCACAUUACAUGGACCAAAGGUCACCUCACGCAUCUCAUACAUCAUUACAGAGUAACGACAGAAACAGAAUGGUAAGGACGCUGGUGUAAAAACAUACUCCCAAGAUAACCUCAUUUAUAUGAAACAAUUUGAGACAGACGCAAAAUGGUUAGGACCCACAUGCACUAAUCCUCUACUAAAAUAAAGGGUAGUCACCAAAAAUAUACCAACUCAUCUAUUGUUGUAAUCAAUAAAUAACAUAUACUCUUCCUAAUAUGCAUGUUAGCCAAGGCUCCGUGUUGAAGACUUUGACCUACAAUGGUUUACUUUUACAAAUUGUGACUUGGAUGGAGAGUUGUCUCAUUGGCACUCAUACCACAUCUUCGUAUAUCUAUUUAAUAUUUGCCACUGAAUACUAAAACACCAAUCCACCAUUAUCACCAUCAAUAUAUUGCAUAUACAGUCACUAUUUAAGGGAGGCUAAAAUAAAAUUUAAGUCCUCACAGUCACAUAUUUUAUUUGUUCAUUUAUUUAAGUCUGUUACUUUUAACUUGACAAACUCUAGACACCAUUCUCAGUGGUGGUACAAAUAACCUAGAUAAGGGGUUACCUGUCCUGUCUAUAAGGGUCAACUUCAACAAGAUUUAAGACAGUAACAGACUCUUAUUAGGUACUUAAAGAUUAGAUAAAUGAUUGACAUUUACAUGUACAAAAACAUUAAAUUGUGUAUUAUGAUUGAUUUCCUUCUAAAUGUUUUAUUUCUAGACUUUAAACAUUACUGGCAUUUAAAAGUGAUGACCAUGUUAAACCAAAUUUAAAAGAAAUGCAAAGAAACCAACAUUUUGCACUUAUUUAAAAGUUAUUUAAAAGAUUCAAAAUUAAAUUUUCACUUGAUAAGACAAGAUAUUAUAGCAUCAUUGUAUCCUUGACAUAAAUUAAAAAAAUCAUAAAUUGAUUGAUAUCGUAUUUGUAUUAACAAGGACUUCAAAAAAAAUAACUUGUAUGAAAUGGCUGGAUGUUAAAAAUAUUUGUGUAAUGUACAGAUUGUUAAUCUUCUUUGGAUAAUAAUAAUAAAAAUGUGAUUGACAUUAACUAUGGGCACUAAUCUUUUUCUUCUUUUUAGGCACAGAGAGAAAACCACCCUAAUGACAACUACACAUCAUACUCCUCAUUAGCUAGACAGCCAGGGUAUGACGAUAUGAGAGGAUCCCCGGGAACACCCACAAGGUUGAACCAACAGCAAUAUGCUAGCGAUUAUUAUAACGAUAACUCACCUCGCUACAGUUUGGCCUCUAACGAUAGCUUCCAGCGACCUCAGCAGCAGUAUCAUUAUGAUCCUAGGUAGAUGGGUUAUAGAGCAUGCUCAGUUAAGCUCUAGGUGUGACACAAAUGACCAGAAAUCAUUCUAUUUUGAAUUUGUACUCGAAUUAUGGAAGUUAAACUU